rnacentral:rRNA from 1 species
GAUGAACGCUGGCGGCGUGCCUAAUACAUGCAAGUCGAGCGAACAGACGCGGAGCUUGCUCCUCUGACGUUAGCGGCGGACGGGUGAGUAACACGUGGAUAACCUACCUAUAAGACUGGGAUAACUUCGGGAAACCGGAGCUAAUACCGGAUAAUAUAUUGAACCGCAUGGUUCAAUAGUGAAAGACGGUUUUGCUGUCACUUAUAGAUGGAUCCGCGCCGCAUUAGCUAGUUGGUAAGGUAACGGCUUACCAAGGCGACGAUGCGUAGCCGACCUGAGAGGGUGAUCGGCCACCCUGGAACUGAGACACGGUCCAGACUCCUGCGGGAGGCAGCAGUCGGGAAUCUUCCGCAAUGGUCGAAAGCCUGACGGAGCAACGCCGCGUGAGUGAUGAAGGUCUUCGGAUCGUAAAACUCUGUUAUUAGGGAAGAACAAAUGUGUAAGUAACUAUGCACGUCUUGACGGUACCUAAUCAGAAAGCCACGGCUAACUACGUG